rnacentral:rRNA from 1 species
GCGUGGAUGAUGUGGAUUAAUUCGAUGCAACGCGAAAACCUUACCUACCCUUGACAUGUUCAGAAGUCUUGAGAGAUUGAGAUGUGCCCGAAAGGGAACUGGAACACAGGUGCUGCAUGGCUGUCGUCAGCUCGUGUCGUGAGAUGUUGGGUUAAGUCCCGCAACGAGCGCAACCCUUGUCGUUAAUUGCCAUCAUUUAGUUGGGCACUUUAACGAGACUGCCGGUGACAAACCGGAGGAAGGUGGGGAUGACGUCAAGUCCUCAUGGCCCUUAUGGGUAGGGCUUCACACGUCAUACAAUGGUCGGUACAAAGGGUUGCCAAGCCGCGAGGUGGAGCCAAUCCCAGAAAGCCGAUCGUAGUCCGGAUUGCAGGCUGCAACUCGCCUGCAUGAAGUCGGAAUCGCUAGUAAUCGUGGAUCAGCAUGUCACGGUGAAUACGUUCCCGGGUCUU